rnacentral:rRNA from 1 species
CAGUCGCCACGGUAAUACGUAGGGCGCAAGCGUUAUCCGGAAUUAUUGGGCGUAAAGAGCUCGUAGGCGGUUUGUCGCGUCUGCCGUGAAAGUCCGGGGCUCAACCCCGGAUCUGCGGUGGGUACGGGCAGACUAGAGUGAUGUAGGGGAGACUGGAAUUCCUGGUGUAGCGGUGAAAUGCGCAGAUAUCAGGAGGAACACCGAUGGCGAAGGCAGGUCUCUGGGCAUUAGCUGACGCUGAGGAGCGAAAGCAUGGGGAGCGAACAGGAUUAGAUACCCCAGUAGUCCCUGUCUCUUAUAC